GAGUUUGAUCAUGGCUCAGAUUGAACGCUGGCGGCAGGCUUAACACAUGCAAGUCGAGCGGGGAAAGGUAGCUUGCUACAUUUCCUAGCGGCGGACGGGUGAGUAAUGCUUAGGAAUCUGCCUAUUAGUGGGGGACAACAUUCCGAAAGGAAUGCUAAUACCGCAUACGCCCUACGGGGGAAAGCAGGGGAUCUUCGGACCUUGCGCUAAUAGAUGAGCCUAAGUCAGAUUAGCUAGUUGGUGGGGUAAAGGCCUACCAAGGCGACGAUCUGUAGCGGGUCUGAGAGGAUGAUCCGCCACACUGGGACUGAGACACGGCCCAGACUCCUACGGGAGGCAGCAGUGGGGAAUAUUGGACAAUGGGCGAAAGCCUGAUCCAGCCAUGCCGCGUGUGUGAAGAAGGCCUUUUGGUUGUAAAGCACUUUAAGCGAGGAGGAGGCUACCGAGAUUAAUACUCUAGGAUAGUGGACGUUACUCGCAGAAUAAGCACCGGCUAACUCUGUGCCAGCAGCCGCGGUAAUACAGAGGGUGCGAGCGUUAAUCGGAUUUACUGGGCGUAAAGCGUGCGUAGGCGGCUUCUUAAGUCGGAUGUGAAAUCCCUGAGCUUAACUUAGGAAUUGCAUUCGAUACUGGGAAGCUAGAGUAUGGGAGAGGAUGGUAGAAUUCCAGGUGUAGCGGUGAAAUGCGUAGAGAUCUGGAGGAAUACCGAUGGCGAAGGCAGCCAUCUGGCCUAAUACUGACGCUGAGGUACGAAAGCAUGGGGAGCAAACAGGAUUAGAUACCCUGGUAGUCCAUGCCGUAAACGAUGUCUACUAGCCGUUGGGGCCUUUGAGGCUUUAGUGGCGCAGCUAACGCGAUAAGUAGACCGCCUGGGGAGUACGGUCGC
rnacentral:rRNA from 1 species